rnacentral:rRNA from 1 species
GUGUGAGCGGGGGGUCUUCUGACCUUGUGCGAUUGAGUGAGCCGAUGUCGGAGUAGCUCGUUGGCGGGGGGAAAGCCCCCCCCGGCGACAAUCCCCAUCUGGGCUGAGAGGAUGAUCUCCCACACUGUGACUGAGACACGGUCCCCACACCUACGGGAGGGGGCACUGGGGAAUAUUGGACAAUGGGGGCAAGCCUGAUCCCCCCAUACCCCGUGGGUGAAAAAAGCCUUCUGGUUGUAAAACCCUUUUGUUGGGAAAAAAAUCCCCCCGGGUAAUACCUGGGUGGGAUGACAGUGCCCCAAGAAUAUACACCGGCUAACUUCUUGCCCCCACCCGCGGUAAUACAAAAGGGGCGAGCGUUUCUCUCAAUUACUGGGCGUAAAGCGUGCGUAGGUGGGUGUGUAAAUCUGUUGUGUAAACCCUGUGCUCUCCCUGUGAACUGUGCAGUAGACUGGACAACUCUAGUGUGUGAUAGAGUAUCGGAGAUCUCGGUGUGUCACUGAGAUGCGUAGAGAUCUCGAGGAACAUCUAUGUCGAAAGCGCCUAUCUGUACCCACACUGACACUGAGGCGCGAGAGCGUGUGGAGAGCACACGAUAAUAUACACUGUGAGUCCACACGCUAUACGAUACGCACAGUAUGUGGGGUGCACUAUGUCGCGCACUAUCUAAGCUCACACGUUAUGUUCUCCGCCUGUG